UGUCAGGCACUACUCCAGGCAUCUUACGUGCAUCGCCCUAUUUAAUUCUCAUGGCAGUCCUAUGAGGCAGGUGGUGUGGUAAUGUGGGAAAAGCUCUGACCUUAGACUCAGAAGGACCUUGUCUUCUAAUCCCAGUGCUGUCCCUUCCUGGCAAGUUAUUUGCAGCCUUCUGAGCUUCGUCACCCAUAAAACCGUACUAUGUAGGCUGGGUGCAGUAGCUCACACUUGUAAUUCCAGCACUUUGGGAGGCUGAGGCGGGCAAAUCACUUGAGGCCAGCAGUUGGAGACCAGCCUGGCCAAUAUGGCGAAACUCUGCCUCUACUAAAAAUACAAAAAAUUAGCCGGGUGUGGUGGCACGCUCCUGCAGCAGCACCAGAAUGCGAUAUAGUUUCUGCGAGAAAGGACAAAAAGUUCAGGACGGAGAUGAAGAGGCUCAUGCACGAUGG
rnacentral:lncRNA from 10 species